GAAGACGGACGGAGCCUCCAAGCGGCGCGAAAGCUAGGGUUAGAACCCAAGCAGAGAGUUUAGUUUUUUUGUUUUUUUUAUUUUGUUUAUGCAAAUAUUUUUUUUAACAGAAACUCGGUUUAAAUGGUGCAUUGAUACGGUGCCGUUUUAACAAGGAACCAUAAGAGUCAAAACGACGCCGUAUAAGGUGUAGACCCGCGCGGUGACCCGACCCGGGGAAGGAUCCGCGUGUUUUGGCCUCUGUUGGGAAAUUUGUGUAAAU
rnacentral:lncRNA from 1 species